CUAGCAAUAACACCACUCCCAUACCUCAAUCAUCCACAAUUCUUCUUUCCCAUGGAAGUACAACCUAUUUCCGCCAGUAUUCAGUUUUUGUUUGCACCACAUGUCUCUAUAUGAAACUUCGCAAGCCUCCAUGAGAGCAAAAAGAAGAGGAUGAUCAUGAUGUCGACAUUGAUUAUCAACAUGGUCUUCAGUAGAUUGGCAUAACCGGUGGCACUCUACCACUCAUGAAGGAUCUACAGAGUGUGCUAGGGUGUGAUUAGAUUUCCCCCUCUGUGAUACUUGAAUUUUGCAAUAAGCAUGUCAAUAACGUGAAGAUUUAAUGAAAAAGAUUGGGAAGAGAUCAAGGAAGACACGGUCUUGGGUGUUUCACACGGUAAACAUGCAUUAUAGCCUUUACUUAAUAUUUUAACACCCAGUACAACGAAUACAAACACCUUCUGCUAAUAAUUCGAUUACUCCCAAAUAGCCACAAGCCUCACUUCAAUACUCUCCCUCGGCCUUACCAUUUCCUCUGGCACCCCCUCUUCAUCGUGAUCCACCUGCGCUGCCGAAUGCCCACAGUACAACACCUCCCCACUCUUCCCUUGAUCUGAAUCGUAACACUUCAGCAAGAUGGCUUCAUCCGGCAUCUGAUGUCGUAUAUAUGCCCAUUGCUGGCAGGGCGAGUAGUGCAAGUCAUGACCAAAGCCGAACAUGGAGGCGUGGGUGGAGAUGUCGGCGGGGGAGAGGGUUGUGGGGUCGAGCAUUGCGAGGGGAGCGUUUGUCACGGGUCCUGUGGAGAAG
rnacentral:sRNA from 1 species